GAUGAACGCUGGCGGCGUGCCUAAUACAUGCAAGUCGAGCGAACGGACGAGAAGCUUGCUUUUCUGAUGUUAGCGGCGGACGGGUGAGUAACACGUGGAUAACCUACCUAUAAGACUGGGAUAACUUCGGGAAACCGGAGCUAAUACCGGAUAAUAUUUUGAACCGCAUGGUUCAAAAGUGAAAGACGGUCUUGCUGUCACUUAUAGAUGGAUCCGCGCUGCAUUAGCUAGUUGGUAAGGUAACGGCUUACCAAGGCAACGAUGCAUAGCCGACCUGAGAGGGUGAUCGGCCACACUGGAACUGAGACACGGUCCAGACUCCUACGGGAGGCAGCAGUAGGGAAUCUUCCGCAAUGGGCGAAAGCCUGACGGAGCAACGCCGCGUGAGUGAUGAAGGUCUUCGGAUCGUAAAACUCUGUUAUUAGGGAAGAACAUAUGUGUAAGUAACUGUGCACAUCUUGACGGUACCUAAUCAGAAAGCCACGGCUAACUACGUGCCAGCAGCCGCGGUAAUACGUAGGUGGCAAGCGUUAUCCGGAAUUAUUGGGCGUAAAGCGCGCGUAGGCGGUUUUUUAAGUCUGAUGUGAAAGCCCACGGCUCAACCGUGGAGGGUCAUUGGAAACUGGAAAACUUGAGUGCAGAGGAGAAAAGUGAAUUUCCAUGUGUAGCGGUGAAAUGCGCAGAGAUGUGGAGGAACACCAGUGGCGAAGGCGACUUUCUGGUCUGUAACUGACGCUGAUGUGCGAAAGCGUGGGGAUCAAACAGGAUUAGAUACCCUGGUAGUCCACGCCGUAAACGAUGAGUGCUAAGUGUUAGGGGGUUUCCGCCCCUUAGUGCUGCAGCUAACGCAUUAAGCACUCCGCCUGGGGAGUACGACCGCAAGGUUGAAACUCAAAGGAAUUGACGGGGGCCCGCACAAGCGGUGGAGCAUGUGGUUUAAUUCGAAGCAACGCGAAGAACCUUACCAAAUCUUGACAUCCUUUGACAACUCUAGAGAUAGAGCCUUCCCCUUCGGGGGACAAAGUGACAGGUGGUGCAUGGUUGUCGUCAGCUCGUGUCGUGAGAUGUUGGGUUAAGUCCCGCAACGAGCGCAACCCUUAAGCUUAGUUGCCAUCAUUAAGUUGGGCACUCUAAGUUGACUGCCGGUGACAAACCGGAGGAAGGUGGGGAUGACGUCAAAUCAUCAUGCCCCUUAUGAUUUGGGCUACACACGUGCUACAAUGGACAAUACAAAGGGCAGCGAAACCGCGAGGUCAAGCAAAUCCCAUAAAGUUGUUCUCAGUUCGGAUUGUAGUCUGCAACUCGACUACAUGAAGCUGGAAUCGCCAGUAAUCGUAGAUCAGCAUGCUACGGUGAAUACGUUCCCGGGUCU
rnacentral:rRNA from 1 species